CGCGGGAUGGAGCAGUCGGUAGCUCGUCGGGCUCAUAACCCGAAGGCCGUUGGUUCAAGUCCAGCUCCCGCAACUA
rnacentral:tRNA from 1 species